GGGCGUUAAGUUGCAGGGUAUAGACCCGAAACCCGGUGAUCUAGCCAUGGGCAGGUUGAAGGUUGGGUAACACUAACUGGAGGACCGAACCGACUAAUGUUGAAAAAUUAGCGGAUGACCUGUGGCUGGGGGUGAAAGGCCAAUCAAACCGGGAGAUAGCUGGUUCUCCCCGAAAGCUAUUUAGGUAGCGCCUCGUGAAUUCAUCUCCGGGGGUAGAGCACUGUUUCGGCUAGGGGGCCAUCCCGGCUUACCAACCCGAUGCAAACUGCGAAUACCGGAGAAUGUUAUCACGGGAGACACACGGCGGGUGCUAACGUCCGUCGUGAAGAGGGAAACAACCCAGACCGCCAGCUAAGGUCCCAAAGUCAUGGUUAAGUGGGAAACGAUGUGGGAAGGCCCAGACAGCCAGGAUGUUGGCUUAGAAGCAGCCAUCAUUUAAAGAAAGCGUAAUAGCUCACUGGUCGAGUCGGCCUGCGCGGAAGAUGUAACGGGGCUAAACCAUGCACCGAAGCUGCGGCAGCGAACGUAUCACCCAAGACAACUUUACGGAGUUGACGAUUGACGGAGCGAAGCGACGUCAAAGCGUUCAUUAAAGUCGAGUUGGCUUAGGGAUACGUUC
rnacentral:rRNA from 1 species